GCCGGCCUAGCUCAAUUGGUAGAGCAACUGACUUGUAAUCAGUAGGUUGGGGGUUCAAGUCCCCUGGCCGGCACCA
rnacentral:tRNA from 1 species